rnacentral:rRNA from 1 species
AUUGAACGCUGGCGGCAGGCCUAACACAUGCAAGUCGAGCGAGCGGCGGACGGGUGAGUAAUGUCGGGGAACCUGCCUGAUGGAGGGGGAUAACUACUGGAAACGGUAGCUAAUACCGCAUACCAUCAGAUGUGCCCAGAUGGGAUUAGCUAGUAGGGGGGGUAAUGGCUCACCUAGGCGACGAUCCCUAGCGGGUCUGAGAGGAUGACCGGCCAAACUGGAACUGAGACACGGUCCAGACUCCUCCGGGAGGCAGCAGUGGGGAAUAUUGCACAAUGGGCGAAAGCCUGAUGAAGCAAGGCCGCGUGUGUGAAGAAGGCUUUCGGGUUGUAAAGCACUUUCAGCGGGGAGGCGUUACCUGCAGAGGAAGCAACGGCUAACUCCGUGCCAGCAGCCGCGGUAAUUC